rnacentral:rRNA from 1 species
UACAGGGGGUGCAAACGUUGCUCGGAAUUAUUGGGCGUAAAGCGCGCGUAGGCGGCUACUUAAGUCGGAUGUGAAAGCCCUUGGCUCAACUGAGGAAGUGCACCCGAAACUGAGUGGCUAGAGUACGAAAGAGGGUCGCGGAAUUCCCGGUGUAGAGGUGAAAUUCGUAGAUAUCAGGAGGAACACCGGUGGCGAAGGCGGGUCUCUGGGCCGAAAUUGACGCUGAGGAGCGAAAGCGUGGGGAGCGAACAGG